GGCCAAUCCUGGAGAGUUGGCAACCCCAGCAAUGCCCUCUGCCUGAGGCCACAUUUUAUUUGUGUGUUUCAUCUGGAUGAGAUAAAUCGAUCCCAGAAUCGAUCCACCUUGGCAGGGGGAGUAAGCGGAGUCGAUGGGGAAGCCGCGACAGUCAAGUCGCCGCCGUGAGGAUGGCCAGAAGUGAUUCCAGUCUUGAAAAAACACCCCUUGGGAGAUAGACAGAAGUGCCACAUUCACUGAAUCAUGCUAUCCUGGCGGGUGGAAUGCCACGCUUCCCACAGAUAUAACAAGGCUUCAGAUGGACUCGGGUUAUUUGGCGAUGCUUCUUUUUGAUUUCCUGGGAAUCUAUGGGGUUUGGAGUUGAACCUGCAGGUGUCAACGGAAGAGGAAGCCCUCUCAACCUGCCUCCCACGCCCCAAAAAAUCUAAAAGCUGAGGGGUUUUUUCCUUCAGUAGUUCCUCCAAAUCUAAAAGCUGAGGGUUUUUUUCCGUCAAUAUUGGUAUUUAAUUGCUACAGUUUACCUUAAAUUAUUAAAUAUUAUUCCAAUUACUUACAGAAUGGGCACAUUAUUUGCCACUCCUAAAAAUUAAAUUAGCAGGGCUUCAUCUUGCAAACAUGCACAUCAGUGGUUGCAGGAUCAAGCAUAGUUUUAAUAUGAUACAUUUUUUCUAUAUGAAACCACUCACAAAACAUGCUAAAGACUCCCAUAGAAUCUGGCAAAUCUGUUUGUACAGAUUGAAAUCCAUCACGGAGCACACAAACCUGACUCACAGGAAGACAAUAUCUAUUUGUGAUUUAUUUUUUUAAAAAUGAUUUGCUGUAUAUCACAUUAGCAGAGAUUAGCAAGAUGAUUUAUAUUUCUAACUUGUUUACUGUGAGGUCACUGCUUCUUAAGUUGAGAUGGCUGUUCUGUUAAAAUAUUUAAUGAUCUGUUACCAAUUAAAUGGAGGCAGAAAGAUCAAUCUGUCACUCUGCGAUCUGCUUAACCACCACAAAUGAUUCUGUCAGGGAGAGUCAUCAGUUACUUUUGUUUCUCAUCUAUCCGAUUAAAGCAUUUCAGCAUUGAUUCCCUUACUCCAGCUGCAAAGUAGAAUCUAUCUGAAUGGAAAUAUUUUCUUGAAAAACUGCCUGAUUGAUGACAUUUAAACUUGAACAUACAAACUGAAAUCAGAUGUUAUCUUGUAAAUGGUCUUAUCUAUUCACAACCAAGUCAUGAAUAACUUGCCAUUCAUUUUGUUACUUUUGCCUUAUAAAAGAGUGAGACAUGGAUUAAACAACUGUUUUUGCGUUGGAA